rnacentral:rRNA from 1 species
ACUCCUACGGGAGGCAGCAGUGGGGAAUAUUGCACAAUGGGCGCAAGCCUGAUGCAGCCAUGCCGCGUGUGUGAAGAAGGCCUUCGGGUUGUAAAGCACUUUCAGUUUUGAGGAAGGUGGUGUUGUUAAUAGCAGCAUCAUUUGACGAAAGCGACAGAAGAAGCACCGGCUAA